CUACGGGAGGCUCCAGUGAGGAAUAUUGCACAAUGGGGGGAACCCUGAUGCAGCAACGCCGCGUGGAGGAUGACGCAUUUCGGUGUGUAAACUCCUUUUAUAUGUCAAGAAAAUGACGGUAGCAUAUGAAUAAGCACCGGCUAACUCCGUGCCAGCAGCCGCGGUAAUACGGAGGGUGCAAGCGCUACUCGGAAUCACUGGGCGGAAAGGACGCGUAGGCGGGUUGGAAAGUCAGGUGUGAAAUCCUACAGCUUAACUGUAGAACUGCACUUGAAACUUCUAAUCUAGAGUAUGGGAGGGGGAGAUGGAAUUAGUGGUGUAGGGGUAAAAUCCGUAGAUAUCACUAGGAAUACCUAAAGCGAAGGCGAUCUCCUGGAACAUUACUGACGCUAAGGCGUGAAAGCGUGGGGAGCAAACAGGAUUAGAUACCCCUGUAGUC
rnacentral:rRNA from 1 species